rnacentral:rRNA from 1 species
UACGAAGGGGGCUAGCGUUGCUCGGAAUCACUGGGCGUAAAGCGCACGUAGGCGGAUCGUUAAGUCAGGGGUGAAAUCCUGGAGCUCAACUCCGGAACUGCCUUUGAUACUGGCGACCUUGAGUUCGGGAGAGGUGAGUGGAACUGCGAGUGUAGAGGUGAAAUUCGUAGAUAUUCGCAAGAACACCAGUGGCGAAGGCGGCUCACUGGCCCGGUACUGACGCUGAGGUGCGAAAGCGUGGGGAGCAAACAGG